CCUACGGGCGGCAGCAGUGAGGAAUAUUGGGCAAUGGGCGCGAGCCUGAACCAGCCAAGUCGCGUGAAUGAUGACUGCCCUACGGGUUUUAAACUUCUUUUUUAAAGGAAUAAAGUGAGGCACGUGUGCCGUUUUGUACGUACUUUAUGAAUAAGGAUCGGUUAACUCCGUGCCAGCAGCCGCGGUAAUACGGAGGAUCCGAGCGUUAUCCGGAUUUAUUGGGUUUAAAGGGAGCGUAGAUGGGUUGUUAAGUCAGUUGUGAAAGUUUGCGGCGCAACCGUAAAAUUGCAAUUGAUACUGGCAGCCUUGAGUACAGUUGAGGUAGGCGGAAUUCGUGGUGUAGCGGUGAAAUGCUUAGAUAUCACGAAGAACACCGAUUGCGAAGGCAGCUUACUAAACUGCCACUGACAUUGAUGCUCGAAAGUGUGGGUAUCAAACAGGAUUAGAUACCCCUGUAGUC
rnacentral:rRNA from 1 species